AGCCUGAACGCUGGCGGCGUGGCUAAGACAUGCAAGUCGAACGGAUGUAGCAAUACAUCAGUGGCGGACGGGUGAGUAAUGUAUCGCUAACGUGCCCUAGAGCCAGGGAUAGCUGUCCGAAAGGACAGGUAAUACCUGAUGAUAUACCUUUGUCGCAUGACAGAGUUCUCAAAGCAGCAAUGCACUCUUGGAGCGGGCGAGUAUCGGUAUCAGCUAGUUGGUGAGGUAACGGCUCACCAAGGCUAUGACGGGUAGCUGGUCUGAGAGGACGACCAGCCACACUGGAACUGAGACACGGUCCAGACACCUACGGGUGCAGCAGUCGAGAAUUUUUUCUCAAUGGGGAAACCCUGAAGGAGCGACGCCGCGUGGAGGAUGAAGGUCUUCGGAUUGUAAACUCCUGUCAUUAGGGAACAAUUGCCAGCGAUUAACUGUCGCGGGCUUGAUAGUACCUGAAGAGGAAGAGACGGCUAACG
rnacentral:rRNA from 1 species